rnacentral:rRNA from 1 species
GAUGAACGCUGGCGGCGUGCCUAAUACAUGCAAGUCGAGCGAACAGACGAGGAGCUUGCUCCUCUGACGUUAGCGGCGGACGGGUGAGUAACACGUGUAUAACCUCCCUAUAAGACUGGGAUAACUUCGGGACACCGGAUCUAAUACCGUAUAAUAUAUUGAACCGCAUUGUUCAUUAGUGAAAUACGGUUUUGCUGUCACUUAUAGAUGGUUCCGCGCCGCAUUAGCUAGUUGGUAAGGUAACGGCUUACCAAGGCAACGCGGCGUAGCCGGCCUGAGAGGGUGAGCGGCCACACUGGAACGGAGACACGGUCCAGACUCCUACGGGAGGCAGCAGUAGGGAAUCUUCCGCAAUGGGCGAAAGCCUGACGGAGCAACGCCGAGUGAGUGAUGAAGGUCUUCGGAUCGUAAAACUCUGUUAUUAGGGAAGAACAAAUGUGUAAGUAACUAUGCACGUCUUGACGGUACCUAAUCAGAAAGCCACGGCUAACUACGUG